rnacentral:rRNA from 1 species
GGGGGGAACCCUGAUGCAGCAACGCCGCGUGAGUGAAGAAGGCAUUCGUGUCGUAAAACUCUGUAGUAGGGGAAGAAAGAAAUGACAGUACCCUAAAAGAAAGCCCCGGCUAACUACGUGCCAGCAGCCGCGGUAAUACGUAGGGGGCAAGCGUUAUCCGGAAUAACUGGGCGUAAAGGGUGCGCAGGUGGCUUAACAAGUUAGUGGUGAAAGGCAUAGGCUCAACCAAUGUAAGCCAUUAAAACUGUUUAACUUGAGUGCAGGAGAGGAAAGUGGAAUUCCUAGUGUAGCGGUGAAAUGCGUAGAUAUUAGGAGGAAUACCAGUGGCGAAGGCGACUUUCUGGACUGCAACUGACACUGAGGCACGAAAGCGUGGGGAGCAAACAGGAUUAGAUACCCUGGUAGUCCACGCCGUAAACGAUGAGUACUAGGUGUCGGUGAGACUCGGUGCGAGUUACCAUUAGUACUCCGCCUGGGGAGUACGCUCGC